GAAGAAAAAACAAAACUAACUCUACCAGAAACAUGAACUUCUUCCACUGUUAACACUAUUCGCUAAUUUUUUAGCUAUACAAAUAUUUACAGCAAAAAUGAACAACACCCGUCUCGGAGACAUGAUACAAGCCAGAUGGAAUGUUUCAAAAGAUAAAACACAUUUACAUCAUUAUUUUUCUUUAACUCUACUCUUUUUCCCUUUUCUGAAGUUGUAGUUUUUUUUUCCUAAUACCUCCAUUUCUUCGCCCACUUGAUUGGACAAAUUGCAAGGCUUUGACUGGGAACUGCGGCAGAAAACAAAAAACAAACAGACAAAACAAUAACAUCAAUUCCCACAUUCUGUAAAUUCUUAAGCAAAAGUUUCCCUGCCACGGAUACCUUCUUUUUUUUUUUCUCCUAAACUACACCAUCCAUGUGUGCUUUGUGGAAAAAUCGCCACUUUUAUUUUUACCCAAGUUCUUAUAAAAAGAGAGAAAGAAAUUCUUACCCAAGGUUCAACAUCAGUUUCCUGGCUUCAUCAACAGCAAGACUCGCAGCAUAUAGCACCAUCUUUUUCACCUAUAAAAUUAUAUAAUUCUGAGUAAGAGAAACAUCUCCAGUUAAAACAUAAAUUAUCCUACGAUUCAUUUCCUGAGUUUGUAGAGGGUGACAAACAAAUCUAGAAAGAGUUCUUUUUAGUAAUGAGAACUAACUAUCACCUGAAAUGUUCCUCUGUUCCUAUGCUAAGUUGAUUUUUUUCACCUGAAAUGUUCCUCUGUUCUUCCUAAUCUGAAUCGUGGCACAAUGGUAUUAAAACUAAAUAACAUUAAUACUCAGAAGAAUAGAGAAACAAUUUGAGUGCCAAAUCAACUGAAUAAAUUUCAAAUCACAAAAGGAAAAGAAAUCAUCCGAGGUCAAGCCCUUACAGAAUCGAAGUGUGGAACAAGGAGAUCGAACGAUGAGAUGAAGGAGAUCGAAGUGAGUGCUUGAGGAGGAUCGAACUGAGGGCUUCCGAUUCUAGGGCUUGAGGGGGAUCGAACUGAGAUUUCAAAGGCUUCAAUUUUCUGAAGCUCAAGUUGGAGAAGGAACUCUGGGCUUCGAAGAUUCGGUAAGGGCUUCGAUUUUUUGUUUUGCAGCAAUCGGUUUUCUGAAGAUUUCAAAGCUUGAUUUUCUGUUUUGGAGGAACUCUCAGCCGAAACCCACAAGUAACGAGGAGAGAGAAAUGAAAUGAAAUGAAA
rnacentral:lncRNA from 1 species